UUUAACGAUGGCUGCGCACUCUAUGGAAUAUUACGCUAAUAAAAUUUGUACGUCUAUACUAUACAUAUUGUUUAAGUUUAUGUGAAUGUAUGUGUAUAUAUAAUUCGAGGAAUAACUUCACAAGUAAUACUUUUAUAUAUCGGGUGGAUAGUGCCGGACGAAGUCAUUUAUUUUAGUUUAGAAAUUGGUAUACGAGUACUUGUUUAUCGGAGACCAAGAACUAAAA
rnacentral:lncRNA from 1 species